rnacentral:lncRNA from 1 species
UCCAAUCGAAAGAGGGCUAGAUGGCUCGUUUUAGCCAUCUGGUCCUCCAAGAAAUUAAUAUUUUAAUGAACAGCGCAUGACCAUAUUUCUCACCAUCUCCAACCGAGGGCCAAAUGACCAUAGGGCCAAACAUAGCCCUAUGACAAAAAACCAUCUCCACCUAGGCAGGGGCGGAGGCAAUAUAUGCCUAGCAUAGGCCUAGGCCUACUCUCACUCUUUAAGCCCCUCUAAAUAUUUAGUAUUAAAUAUUUUUUUUAUUUUUUAUAAACUUAGUAUUAUACAUCUUUUAGUUUACAUGAAAUCUUUAAAUUCUAUUCACCAAUAAUUAAAACAAGAGGUCUUUUUUUCUUUUCACCCAACGACACUCAUCCUAAAACUAAAUCUAACUCUUAUUUUGUAUACAAGUCAAUAACUCUUAAAAUUAAAAUCUAAAAUUUACUUUAGUUUUAUCAAAAGAUAUUCUUUGAUAUUGUCAACCUUAAGAAUAAUAAACUUUGAGCUUUUCCUCCUUCCCUUGUUGAAUUUCAUGUAUUUUGCCCUCCAAAUUUUCAACCCAAAACAGUGUUAAGGUUUGUAAAUCUCUGUGUUCUCUUUAACUUUUUACUAAUAAUAUGAUCUAAAAACAUGAUCCCCUAGCAUUUUUCAUUGACUUGAUAUUGGAAGGUUAAUUUCUUUUAAUCCUCUUUAAUCUUGAUUAACUACUCUCUAUAUUGACUUGAUAUUGGAAGAUUAAUUUUAACAUGGAAAAAGCAUUUGGUGCCUCAAAAAAAAUUUUUAGAUCACAACUCCAAGCAUGUGUUAUACCCUUUGGUAAACAUUAUCUAUUUUUUUAACAUUAAGUGAGGCCCCUCCUCAUAUAAGAUCCUGGCUCCGCCACUGCACCUAGGGCCAAAGAGCCAUAGGGUUUAUUAUUUAAAUUUAAAAACUACAACAACUUAAAUUUAAAAACUACAACUUAAAUUUAAUGUUGUUUAAUGUUACUGAAUGUUAUUUAAUAUUGUUUAAUGGCUUAGUAAGUUAUAGGGAAAAAAAAUAGAAUUUUUAAUUUUUUUUAAAAAAAUUUGUAAAA